ACGAACAAAAUUUUAAAUGAGAAAGAAGAAGAAUCUUGGCAAAAAAAUGUGAUUUUUGGUGGAGUUCUCAUGAGUUUAAAUAGAAGAAUGAAAUUGGUAGGGGUUGAGAUCAUGGUGUGAUAACUUCUACCAUGAUGAAUUAGUGGGGGGUUUAGUGGGUGGUUAGAGUGGAGAAGAAAAAUCAAAAAAUAUAUAUAUAAACAAUUAAAAACAUACGGUAUAUUUAAAUA
rnacentral:lncRNA from 1 species